rnacentral:miRNA from 1 species
GACUUAGAAGACAGAGUGCCACUUACUGAAAGGUUUUUUUUCUCUCAGUAAGUGGCACUCUGUCUUCUGAGUU